rnacentral:snRNA from 1 species
CUUAUUGGCUUUGAUCUUGUGUAGUAA